rnacentral:tRNA from 1 species
GCGUGAGCGGGUGAGUGGCCUUUGCAAGGCAGGGGUUAGGGGUUCGAGUCCCCUCGUCUCCA